AAGGUUACCAACUCUUGCUGAGCCAAAAUCCGUAUACACUCAAACCCCGAUGGUUUGACACCAACUGUUGUCAAACGAACGGGGUCACUUUUUAGUUUGACACCCCUUUUAGACGGAGUUCACACACACUACCAAACGUUUGUUUUGAUAGUGUGCGUGAGCGCCGUGUAAAAAGUGACAGUUCGUCACUUUUUAGUUUGACUUUGACCAACCAACGGGGUACAAACUAAAAAAGUGUCAAACGAAAAAGUGACCAACCACCGGGGGUUGAGUGUACUUUACCGAUAUGACACCAUGGUAUAACAAAAACUGUCAAGGAAUUAUUUAGAUAAGUUUGGAAUUUGGGAAUUAAAAAUAUUUUUGUUAACGAAAUGUUAAGUUUGCUUUUACGAAUAAUAUCGCUGUUAGUGUUUUCACGAAAACAUUUCUAGAGAUCCUAUAAAUACAAGCACAACACAAGGUUUUCACAAGCCAAAAUUUGAUCUUUAAUUUAAUAAAUAUGUUUUGUAAGGAUUUUGAAAAGAACAAUCAUUGACAAUCAAGUUUGAACUGAGGAAAACCCGGAAAAUUAUGCAAGUUAUCCCUUUAAAAUCAAACUGACAGUUAAAUAAAAAUAUCUAAUUAGAGAAAGCUUUGGCCCAAUCAAAAAAGCAAUGAAAUUUUUAAAAAGUUGUUAAAAUUCCGUACAAAUCCGUAUUAUGCGAAAAAUUCCGUACAAAAAUUCCGGCCUGUUAAAAAUCCGCGGAGAAGGUCGAAAAUCCGUACGGUAAGGAAAAAAUCCGUACAGUUGGUAGCCUUAGGCAUG